UACAGAGGGUGCGAGCGUUGUUCGGAAUUAUUGGGCGUAAAGGGCGCGUAGGCGGUGCGGGAAGUCACCUGUGAAAUCUCCUGGCUCAACUGGGAGCUUGCAGGCGAAACUGCCGUGCUGGAGUGUGGGAGAGGUGCGUGGAAUUCCUGGUGUAGCGGUGAAAUGCGUAGAUAUCAGGAGGAACACCUGUGGCGAAAGCGGCGCACUGGACCACAACUGACGCUGAGGCGCGAAAGCUAGGGGAGCAAACAGG
rnacentral:rRNA from 1 species